rnacentral:rRNA from 1 species
UACGGGGGGGGGCAAGCGUUGUUCGGAAUUACUGGGCGUAAAGGGCUCGUAGGCGGCCAACUAAGUCCGACGUGAAAUCCCCAGGCUUAACCUGGGAACUGCGUCGGAUACUGGAUGGCUUGAAUUCGGGAGAGGGAUGCAGAAUUCCAGGUGUAGCGGUGAAAUGCGUAGAUAUCUGGAGGAACACCGGUGGCGAAGGCGACAUCCUGGACCGGUAUUGACGCUGAGGCGCGAAAGCCAGGGGAGCAAACGGG